rnacentral:rRNA from 1 species
AGUUUGAUCAUGGCUCAGAGUGAACGCUGGCGGCAGGCCUAAUACAUGCAAGUCGAACGGCAGCACAGCAGAGCUUGCUCUGUGGGUGGCGAGUGGCGGACGGGUGAGGAAUACAUGGGAAUCUGCCCAGUCGUGGGGAUAACGUAGGGAAACUUACGCUAAUACCGCAUGCGCCCUUCGGGGGAAAGCCGGGGACCUUCGGGCCUGGCGCGAUUGGAUGAGCCCAUGUCGGAUUAGCUAGUUGGCGGGGUAAUGGCCCACCAAGGCGACGAUCCGUAGCUGGGUCUGAGAGGAUGAUCAGCCACACUGGAACUGAGACACGGUCCAGACUCCUACGGGAGGCAGCAGUAGGGAAUAUUGGACAAUGGGCGCAAGCCUGAUCCAGCCAUGCCGCGUGAGUGAAGAAGGCCCUCGGGUUGUAAAGCUCUUUUGUCCGGAAAGAAAAGCGCCGGGUUAAUACCCUAGUGUCCUGACGGUACCGGAAGAAUAAGCACCGGCUAACUUCGUG